UGGGGUAACGGCUCACCUAGGCGACGAUCCCUAGCUGGUCUGAGAGGAUGACCAGCCACACUGGAACUGAGACACGGUCCAGACUCCUACGGGAGGCAGCAUG
rnacentral:rRNA from 1 species